GGGAAAAUAACUCAGGGGUUAGAGUGUUGGCCUGUCACGCCAAAAGUCGCGGGUUCAAAUCCCGUUUUUCUCG
rnacentral:tRNA from 1 species